AGGCCCCGCCUCCAGACCACGUGUGCGCCCUGCGCCACGCUUGCCGCAGCUUAAGAGAGGUUUCGCGUCGGGAGCUGAGUUCCUGGGCUGCGGUUCGGCGCUCGGAGCCCGGCUGGUCUGUGCCCGGUGGCCGCGCCUGUGCCCUGUCCCCAGCCGGGCCCCAGGCGCCAUGGCGUCCCGCGGGAGGAAGCGGAAGGCCGAGGCGGCGCUGGCCGCUGCGGCCGAGAAGCGGGAGAAGCCGGCCGGCGGCCAGGAGGGGGAAGUGGCGGGGCCGAGCGUCGUCAUCGAGCACUGCACGAGCUGACGAGUCUACGGGCGCAACGCCGCGGCCCUGAGCCAGGCGCUGCGCCUGCAGGCCCCCGAGCUGGCGGUGAAGGUGAACCCCGCCAGGCCGCGGAGGGGCAGCUUCGAGGUGACGCUGCUGCGCGCCGACGGCAGCAGCGCGGAGCUCUGGACGGGUCUUAAGAAGGGGCCCCCACGCAAACUCAAGUUUCCGGAGCCUCACGUGGUGCUGGAGGAGCUGAAGAAGUACCUUUCGUAGGGAGGUGGGGCAGAAGGCGUCUCGCUGAGCCUCUGUCCCUGGUGAUACUGGAGCAUUUAUGACGGGACGUGGCCAAACUUCAGUCAUGUCCCCGAAGCUGUGGUUUCCUCCCCUCCAGAAACGAUGGUUCAGUUGUGAGGCAGUCCUCUAGUAAGACAUUGAAAAGUUCUUGGAUUUGGUUUAAUAAAAAUUAAAGGAUCUGAGUUGACAUAAA